CCUACGGGAGGCAGCAGUGAGGAAUAUUGGUCAAUGGGCGUAAGCCUGAACCAGCCAAGUCGCGUGAGGGAUGAAGGUUCUAUGGAUCGUAAACCUCUUUUAUAAGGGAAUAAAGUGUGGGACGUGUCCCGGUCCGGAGAGUACCCGGAGAAAAAGCAUCGGCUAACUCCGUGCCAGCAGCCGCGGUAAUACGGAGGAUGCGAGCGUUAUCCGGUUUUAUGGGGUUUAAAGGGUGCGUAGGCGGGCUUUUAAGUCAGCGGUAAAAAUUCGGGGCUCAACCCCGUCCGGCCGUUGAAACUGGGGGCCUUGAGUGGGCGAGAAGAAGGCGGAAUGCGUGGUGUAGCGGUGAAAUGCAUAGAUAUCACGCAGAACCCCGAUUGCGAAGGCAGCCUUCCGGCGCCCUACUGACGCUGAGGCACGAAAGUGCGGGGAUCGAACAGGAUUAGAUACCCUGGUAGUC
rnacentral:rRNA from 1 species